GACGAACGCUGGCGGCGUGCUUAACACAUGCAAGUCGAACGAAGUGGCGAACGGGUGAGUAACGCGUAAUCAACCUGCCCUUCAGAGGGGGACAACAGUUGGAAACGACUGCUAAUACCGCAUACUGAAGGAGGGGAUUGCGUCUGAUUAGCUAGUUGGGGGGGGAACGGCCCACCAAGGCGACGAUCAGUAGCCGGCCUGGGGGGAUGUACCGGCACAAUGGGACUGGGGCACGGCCCAAACUUCUACGGGGAGGAACAGUGGGGAAUCCUCCGCAAAGGGCGGAAAUCUGGACGAGCAAAGCCGCGUGGGUUAAAGCGGGUUUCGGGAUGUUAAGCUCUUUUAGUCGGGGAGCGGUACCGGAACAGAAAGCCACGGCUAACUACGUGCCAGCAGCCGCGGUAAUAC
rnacentral:rRNA from 1 species